GACGAACGCUGGCGGCGUGCUUAACACAUGCAAGUCGAACGGAAAGGCCCUGCUUUUGUGGGGUGCUCGAGUGGCGAACGGGUGAGUAACACGUGAGUAACCUGCCCUUGACUUUGGGAUAACUUCAGGAAACUGGGGCUAAUACCGGAUAGGAGCUCCUGCUGCAUGGUGGGGGUUGGAUAGUUUCGGCGGUUGGGGAUGGACUCGCGGCUUACCAGCUUGUUGGUGGGGUAGUGGCUUACCAAGGCUUUGACGGGUAGCCGGCCUGAGAGGGUGACCGGCCACAUUGGGACUGAGAUACGGCCCAGACUCCUACGGGAGGCAGCAGUGGGGAAUAUUGCACAAUGGGCGGAAGCCUGAUGCAGCAACGCCGCGUGCGGGAUGACGGCCUUCGGGUUGUAAACCGCUUUCGCCUGUGACGAAGCGUGAGUGACGGUAAUGGGUAAAGAAGCACCGGCUAACUACGUG
rnacentral:rRNA from 1 species